CCGAAGGCGACUUCAGGGAAAGUGCAACAGAGAGAUACCGCCGGAUUUUUCCGGUAAGGGUGGAAAGGCGAGGUAAGAGCUCACCGGCGUGUGGGAGACCCCACGACCCUGCAAACCCUAUCCGAUGCAACAUCAGCGGGGAGGUUAUCAUUGGCCCGAUGCUCCCGAAAGAUGGCUUGAGCACCAGCGGCGACGCGGUGCCCAGAUAGAUUGCCGUAUUCAACAGAACCCGGCUUACAGGUUUAGUCACAGU
rnacentral:RNase_P_RNA from 1 species